rnacentral:rRNA from 1 species
AUUGAACGCUGGCGGCAUGCCUUACACAUGCAAGUCGAACGGCAGCACGGGUGCUUGCACCUGGUGGCGAGUGGCGAACGGGUGAGUAAUACAUCGGAACAUGUCCUGUAGUGGGGGAUAGCCCGGCGAAAGCCGGAUUAAUACCGCAUACGAUCUACGGAUGAAAGCGGGGGACCUUCGGGCCUCGCGCUAUAGGGUUGGCCGAUGGCUGAUUAGCUAGUUGGUGGGGUAAAGGCCUACCAAGGCGACGAUCAGUAGCUGGUCUGAGAGGACGACCAGCCACCAUGGGGAUGGGGACAGGCCCCGACCCCUACGGGAGGCAGCAGUGGGGAAUUUUGGACAAUGGGCGAAAGCCUGAUCCAGCAAUGCCGCGUGUGUGAAGAAGGCCUUCGGGUUGUAAAGCACUUUUGUCCGGAAAGAAAUCCUUGGCCCUAAUACGGUCGGGGGAUGACGGUACCGGAAGAAUAAGCACCGGCUAACUACGUG